GGGUAGUUUAGAAGUGCGUCGCGGAGCCGGCCCCGGAAAUAUAGCGACAGCUUCAGCUUUCAGUGUGAGGGAGCCGAGGGCCCAGCCAAACCCUGCGGGGGGGCAAUUCCUGGGUACCCUUCCCAUAUUUUCGGUCUUUGGGCUGCGCUGUGGUAACCCCAGAGCCUGGUUGCGUGCUCACCAGCGACAAGUGUCUUUGCAUUGGGACAUGAAAGGGGACUGGGAAGUGCCGUGCAGUUUCAGGGUAGUUUCUGGUUAAUUACAUUUUCAUGGGUUUUCGCAGAGUCUGGGGGCAAUUUGUGUCCUCCAGAGACCAGGGACCAGGGCCGAAGCUACGGCAGGGGAGACGCGGCCAGGGCUGUGGCUUCUCGUGCGAGCUCGGUUUGCGUCCGUUCCCGUCUGGCGCCCGGGCCUCUGGGAGCCCAGGGCCUUGAAUGAGACAGUGCUCGCCCUUGAAAAAGCAGUUCUAGGUCACUCGGCCUGCUUUGCUAGCAUUCCAGGCCCCAGCUCACCUUCCGCCAUCCAUGUUGACAACACCAGUUCUACGACGAAGCGGGCGAUUCCUCUUGCCUGGAAUUUCACUCGUCCCCGGCCAGCAGGAGCAUAUCACUGUGACUUACAACCCUUCUCUAGUCUGCUACAAUGGAGUCUUAAACAAGAAAAUUUUAUAUUUUGACUUGCAUCAUUGAGAAAAACACUGCCAACCUGAUUGUGGUUCCUUUGAAGCUUAAAUCAAGAAGAAUUAGAAACCCUGAACAGAACAAUAACAAGCAGCAAGACUGGAAUGGUAAUACAAAAGUUACCAAGGAAAAAAAGUCCAGGACCAGAUGUAUUCAUGGCUAAAUUCUAUCAGACAUUCAAAGAAUUGGUAACAAUCCAAUUGACACUAUUCCACAAGAUAGAGAAAGAGGGAAUCCUUCCUAAAUCAUUCUAUGAAGCCACUAUCACCCUAAUACCAAAACCAGGAAGGGACAUGACAAAAAAGAAAACUACAGACCAAUAUCCCUGAUGAACAUAGAUGCAAAAAUUCUUAACAAAAUACUAGCUAACUGAAUCCAACAGCACAUCAAAAAGGUAAUCUGGCAUGAUCGAGUGGGUUUCAUGCCAGAGAUGCAGGGAUGGUUUAACAUACACAAGUCAAUAAAUGUGAUAUGCCACAUAAACAGAAUUAAAAACAAAAAUCACAUGAUCAUCUCAAUAGAUGCAGAAGACGCAUUUGACAAAAUCCAGCAUCUCUUUAUGAUUAAAACCUUCAGCAAAACUGGCAUACCAGGGACAUACCUCAAUGUAAUAAAAGCCAUCUGUGACAAACUCACAGCCAACAUAAUACUGAAUGGGGAAAAGUGGAAAGCAUUUCCUCUGAGAACUGGAACAAGACAAGGAUGCCCACUCUCACCACUUCUAUUCAACAUAGUACUGGAAGUCCUAGCCAGAGCAAUCAGACAAGAGAAGGAAAUAAAGGGCAUCCAAAUUGGUAAAGAGUCAAACUGUUGCUGUUUGCUGAUGAUAUGAUCAUAUGCCUAGAAAACCCUAAAAACUCAUCCAGGAAGCUCCUAGAACUUAUAAAUAAAUUCAGCAAAGUUUUAGGAUACAAAAUUAAUGUAUACAAAUCAGUAGCUCUGCUAUACACCGGCAGCAACUAAACUGAGAAUCAAAUUAAGAACUCAACCCCUUUUACAAUAGCCGCAAAACAAACAAACAAACUUAGGAAUAUACCUUACCAAGGAGGUGAAAGACCUCUACAAGGAAAACUACAAAACACUGCUGAAAGAAAUCAUAGACACCACAAACAAAUGGAAACACAUCUCGUGCUCAUGGAUGGGUAGAAUCAAUAUUGUGAAAAUGACCAUUUUGCCAAAAGCAAUCUACAAAUUCAAUGCAAUUCCCAUCAAAAUACCAUCCAUCAUUCUUCACAGAACUAGAAAAAAAAAAAUCCUAAAAUUCAUAUGGAACCAAAUAAGAGCCCAAAUAGCCAAAGCAAGCCUAAGCAAAAAGAACAAAUCUGGAGGCAUCACAUUACUGAUUUCAAACUGUACUAUAAGGCUAUAGUCACCAAAACAGUAUGGUACUGGUAUAAAAAUAGGCACAUCAACCAAUAGAACAGAAUAGAGAACCCAGAAAUAAACCCAAAUACAUACAGCCAACUGAUCAUUGACAAAGCAAACAAAAACAUAAAAUGGGGAAAAGACAUUCUUUUCAACAAAUGGUGCUGGGAUAAUUGGCUAGCCACAUGUAUGAGAAUGAAAUUGGAUCCCCAUCUCUCACCUUAUACAAAAAUCAACUCAAGAUGAAUCAAUGACUUAAAUCUAAGACCUGAAACUAUAAAAGUUCUAGAAGAUAACAUUGGACAAACACUCCUAGAGAUUGGUUUAGGCAUAUAUUUCACGACCAAGAACCCAAAAGCAAAUGCAACAAAAACAAAGAUGAAUAGCUCAGACUUACUAAAGAGAUUUUCACAGCAAAAGGAAGAAUCAGCAAAGUAAACAGACAACCCACAGAGUGAGAGAAAAUCUUCAUAAUAUAGGCAUCUGACAAAGGGCUAAUAUCCAGAAUCUAUAAAGAACUCAAGCAAAUUAGCAGGAAAAAAAACAAACAGUCCCAUAAAAAAGUUGGCUUAAAAGAAGAUAUACAAAUGGCCAAAAAAUAUAUGAAGAACUGCUCAACAUCACUAAUGAUCAGAAAAAUGCAAAUCAAAACCACAAUGUGAUACCACCUUACUCCUGCAAGAAUAGCCAUAAUCAAAAAAUCAAAAAAGAAUAGAUGUUGGCAUGGAUGCUGUGAAAAGGGAACACUUCUACACUGCUGGUGGGAAUGUAAACUAGUACAAUCUAUGGAAAACAGCAUGGAGAUUCCUUAAAGAACUAAUAGUAGAACUACCAUUUGAUCCAGCAAUCCCACUAUUGGGUGUCUACCCAGAGGAAAAGAAGUCAUUAUACAAAAAAGAUACUUGCACACACAUGUUUAUAGCAGCACAAUUCUUAAUUGCAAGAAUAUGGAACCAGCCCAAAGGUCCAUCAUUCAAUGAGUGGAUGAAGAAGUUGUGAGAUAUAUAUACAUAUAAAUAUAUAUCUCAUAUGUAUAUCUCACUUAAUAUAUAUGUAUAUAAAAAAUGGAAUAGUACUCAGUCAUAAAAAGGAUUGAAUUAAUGGCAUUCAUAGCAACCUGGAUGGAACUGGAGACUAUUAUUCUAAGUAAAGUAACUCAGGAAUGGAAAACCACACAUUGUAUGUCCUGAAUCAUAAAUGGGAGCUAAGCUAUAAGGAUGCAAAGGCAUAAGAAUGAUACAAUAGACUUAGGGUACUCAGGGGAAAGAGUGGGCAGGGGUGAGGUAUAAAAGACUACAAAUAAGUGCAGUGUAUCCUGCUCAUGUGAUGAGUGCAUCAAAAUCUCACAAAUCACUACUAAAGAACUUACUCAUGUAGCCAAGUACCGCCUGUUCCCCCAAAACCUGUGG